AUUGAACGCUGGCGGCAGGCCUUACACAUGCAAGUCGAACGAGUGGCGGACGGGUGAGUAAUGUCUGGGAAACUGCCCGAUGGCGGGGGAUAACUACUGGAAACAGUAGCUAAUACCGCAUACCAUCGGAUGUGCCCAUAUGGGAUUAGCUAGUUGGUGGGGUAACGGCUCACCAAGGCGACGAUCCCUAGCUGGUCUGAGAGGAUGACCAGCCACACUGGAACUGAGACACGGUCCAGACUCCUACGGGAGGCAGCAGUGGGGAAUAUUGCACAAUGGGCGCAAGCCUGAUGCAGCCAUGCCGCGUGUAUGAUGAAGGCCUUCGGGUUGUAAAGUACUUUCAGCAGGGAGGCGUUACUCGCAGAAGAAGCACCGGCUAACUCCGUGCCAGCAGCCGCGGUAAUUC
rnacentral:rRNA from 1 species